GAAUAUUAGUCAAUGAUCGAAAGAUUGAUCUAGUUACUUAGAAAGAUGAAGAUUAUAAUGUAUGUUUUUUAACAUAAAGAAAAUAAUAAUGAAGAAUAUAAAAUCAAUCUAUGCAUUGUUAAUGAUGAUAUAUGUAUAGAAGUCUUAACCAAAAUUAGUGCCAGCAGUUGCGGCUAAACUAAGGAGGCAAACGUUAAUCAUUAAUGGCUUAAAGGAUCCGUAGAAUGAUACUGUAUAGUAUUAGAGUUUAAUCAAAUAAUUAUGUAAAAUAAUAGUGAGAGAUGAAAAGUUAGGAAAAUAAUUAGACAAAUAAACGUGAAGAUAAGAUUAGAGAUUAAACUGACAUUGAGGGAUGAAGGCAUGAGUAGCAAAACGGAUUAGAUACCCGAGUAGUUCAUGCAGUAAACGAUGAAUACCCCGCUAUAAAAAAAGAUAGUGUAAGCGAAAGCAUAAGUAUUCCGCCAGGAGAGUAUAGCUUCACAGUUGAAAUCCAAGACAAUAGACGGUUACAGUUGUAGGCAGUGGAUUGUGUUAUUUAAU
rnacentral:rRNA from 1 species